AUGGGGGUUUAGCCACUCAUAAUUACAACAAAAUCAGAAAAUGGAUUUAACAUUGGAAACAAAAGAAAGAAAACACCUAAAUGCUCCAACGAUCCAAGUUGACAGCACGGACAUCCAAGCACUUUCCUUUCCUUCAUUUGCUACGGCACAAGGUGUUGGUGAGUGUUUGAAGGUUUGUUUGUAUGGAGGAAUGGAUGUAAAUAUGAAUGGAUGUGUUUGGAUGAAGGUUGUAUUGAAAUGGGAGUGAAUGAUCUAAAAAUAUAUGAACUCCAUUUAUGUUACACACACUUCCUUUUAUAGAGGAAGUGCAAGGCAAAGCAUGGGUAAAAUGGAGUAGUGUUGAAAUGAUUCAAAGGUGAAAGUGGAGUCAUGAUGGAAAGCAUGGGUAAAAUGGAGUGGUGUUGAAAUGAUUCAAAGGUGAAAGUGAAGUAAUGAUGCAAAGCAUGGGUAAAAUGGAGUGGUGUUGAAAUGAUUCAAAGGUGAAAGUGAAGUAAUGAUGCAAAGCAUGGGUAAAAUGGAGUGGUGUUGAAAUGAUUCAAAGUAAUGAUGCAUGAAAUCUGAAAUGAUGGAGGGAACAAGGAAUGGAGUAGCAAUUAAGUGCAAGGAGGGAACAUGGAUGAUGAUAAGGUAAUCUUGACUCAUGUUUCUUCUUUGGUUGCUGAGCUCUUUGUCAUUUUUACAUUAAUUCUUCUUUCUUUUUAACACAUUCCAAGCCUUUUUAGUCUUCAAUUUCGUCCGUCCACCAUACUCCAUGCAUGUGAUAUCCAUUCCAUGCCCAAAACUGCUCCAAAAUGCACCAAAAUGCACCUUAUUGCUUUAUAAGGCCUAUGGACCUACAAACACACGAAAAUAGCUUAAAAUACAUAAUUAACUAAGAAAUAACAACAUAAAUGCAUGAGAACAAGCUAACUCAAUCGCAUAAAUAUGCUCCUAUCAAUCCCUUGUCCCCUUCACCCAUUAGAUUUCAUUCACUUUCACCUCCACUACAUGCACUCAUUGAUGCACCACUCCUCCACUUUCCUUGCCCAUGCCGUGCAUCAUGAAUCCACCUGCACCUAUGACUCAUUUCUGCACCAUUCCACCUCCCUUUCCUUUAUCUACCAUGUGCCCAAUCAUUCAUGUUCCCCACUUGCAUUCAUAGCUACAACACCACUCCAUUUCACCCCCCAUGCUUUGCAUCAUUACUUCACUUUCACCUUUGAAUCAUUGCUAACACCACCAUCCAUCCCUCCAUGCCAUGCACUUCCUCUAUAAAAGGAAGUGUGUGUGGCAGCCAUUACAUUCAGUUUUUGCUAGAGAAUUCAUCCCCAUUUCGAUACAACCUUCAUCCAAACACUUCCAUUCAUCCUCACAUCCAUUCCUCCAUACAAACAAACUUUCAAACACUCACCAACACCUUGUGCCGUAGCAAAGGAAGGAAAGGAAAGUGCUUGGAUGUGCUUGCUGUCCAACUUGGAUCGUUGGAGCAUUUAGGUGUUUUCUUCCUUUUGUUUUCAAUGUCUAAAUUUAUUUAUCUUUGCUUUGUAAGUAUGAGAAACUAAACCCCCCUUAGCUAGGGGGGAAUUCGAAACUAUGUUCAUGCUUGCAAUAUGAUUUGAUUACUUUCAGUUGUGAUUCAUAAGUUGUGAAUUCAAUUUACUUAUCC
rnacentral:lncRNA from 1 species